rnacentral:rRNA from 1 species
AUUGAACGCUGGCGGCAGGCCUAACACAUGCAAGUCGAGCGGAUGAAGGGAGCUUGCUCCUGGAUUCAGCGGCGGACGGGUGAGUAAUGCCUAGGAAUCUGCCUGGUGGUGUGGGAUAACGUCCGGAAACGGGCGCUAAUACCGCAUACGUCCUGAGGGAGAAAGUGGGGGAUCUUCGGACCUCACGCUAUCAGAUGAUCCUAGGUCGGAUUAGCUAGUUGGUGGGGUAAAGGCCUACUAAGGCGACGAUCCGUAACUGGUCUGAGAGGAUGAUCAGUCACACUGGAACUGAGACACGGUCCAGACUCCUACGGGAGGCAGCAGUGGGGAAUAUUAGAAAAUGGGAGAAAGCCUGAUCCAGCCAUGCCGCGUGUGUGAAGAAGGUCUUCGGAUUGUAAAGCAAUUUAAGUUGGGAGGAAGGGCAGUAAGUUAAUACCUUGCUGUUUUGACGUUACCAACAGAAUAAGCACCGGCUAACUUCGUG